rnacentral:snoRNA from 2 species
AUCCUUUUUUGGCUUGUAGAUGUGACGAUUGGGAGCUCAUGCUAUUAUUGUGUGAGAUGUACUAUCCUCAAACCUUAUGACACUGUCACAUUUGAUG